rnacentral:rRNA from 1 species
AGAGUUUGAUCCUGGCUCAGAACGUACGCUGGCGGCACGCCUUAUACAUGCAAGUCGAACGAAGUAGCAAUACUUAGUGGCGGACGGGUGAGUAUGAUGUGGGUAUCUGCCCAUUGGUUUGGAAUAACACGGGGAAACUUGUGCUAAUACUGAAUAAGCCUUCACAGGGAAAGCUUUAUGCGCCGAUGGAUGAGCUCGCACUUGAUUAGCUUGUUGGUGAGGUAAAAGCUCACCAAGGCAACGAUCAAUAGCUGAUCUGAGAGGAUGAUCAGCCACAUUGGGACUGAGACACGGCCCAAACUCCUACGGGAGGCAGCAGUAGGGAAUAUUGCACAAUGGAGGAAACUCUGAUGCAGCGAUGCCGCGUGAGUGAAGAAGGCCUUUGGGUUGUAAAGCUCUUUCGUCGGGGAAGAAAAUGACUGUACCCGAAUAAGAAGGUCCGGCUAACUCCGUGCCAGCAGCCGCGGUAAUACGGAGGGUGCAAGCGUUAAUCGGAAUUACUGGGCGUAAAGCGUGCGUAGGCGGUUUAUUAAGUCAGAUGUGAAAGCCCCGGGCUUAACCUGGGAACUGCAUUUGAAACUGGUCAACUAGAGUAUGGUAGAGGAAAGUGGAAUUUCUGGUGUAGCGGUGAAAUGCGUAGAUAUCAGAAGGAACAUCAAUGGCGAAGGCAGCUUUCUGGACCAAUACUGACGCUGAGGUACGAAAGCGUGGGUAGCAAACAGGAUUAGAUACCCUGGUAGUCCACGCCGUAAACGAUGAUAACUAGCCGUUGGGGGGAUUUACCCCUUAGUGGCGAAGCUAACGCGUUAAGUUAUCCGCCUGGGGAGUACGGCCGCAAGGCUAAAACUCAAAGGAAUUGACGGGGACCCGCACAAGCGGUGGAGCAUGUGGUUUAAUUCGAUGCAACGCGAAGAACCUUACCUGGUCUUGACAUCCUGCGAACUUUCUAGAAAUAGAUUGGUGCCUUCGGGAACGCAGUGACAGGUGCUGCAUGGCUGUCGUCAGCUCGUGUCGUGAGAUGUUGGGUUAAGUCCCGUAACGAGCGCAACCCCUAUCCUUAUUUGCCAGCACAUUAUGGUGGGAACUAUAAGGAGACUGCCGGUGAUAAACCGGAGGAAGGCGGGGACGACGUCAAGUCAUCAUGGCCCUUACGACCAGGGCUACACACGUGCUACAAUGGGAAGGACAAAGAGCCGCGAAGCCGCGAGGUGUAGCUAAUCUCACAAAUCUUUUCGUAGUCCGGAUUGGAGUCUGCAACUCGACUCCAUGAAGUCGGAAUCGCUAGUAAUCGUAGAUCAGAAUGCUACGGUGAAUACGUUCCCGGGUCUUGUACACACCGCCCGUCAUACCAUGGGAGUGGGUUGCACCAGAAGUGGCUAGUCUAACUUUGUGAGGACGGUCACCACGGUGUGAUUCAUGACUGGGGUAAAGUCGUAACAAGGUAACC